rnacentral:rRNA from 1 species
UACGUAGGGAGCAAGCGUUGUCCGGAAUCAUUGGGCGUAAAGCGCGCGUAGGUGGCUUCAUAAGUCUGUUGUGAAAGUCAAAGGCUCAACCUUUGAAAGCCGAUGGAUACUGUGAAGCUAGAGUACGGAAGAGGCGAGUGGAAUUCCUGGUGUAGCGGUGGAAUGCGCAGAUAUCAGGAGGAACACCAAUAGCGAAGGCAGCUCGCUGGGACGUACUGACACUGAGGCGCGAAAAGCGUGGGGGAGCGAACGGG